AGACUGUUUCUGUAGAUCGCCAAGUGGAGGUCACACUCCUGGAGCUGAGUCCCAAACAGAAGACACUGAGGUGUUUGCAUUCUGUAGGCAGAAACUGAGGACCAGACACAAGACGCUGCUGGCCUUAACCCAUGAUGCUGUCUCCUAGAAGUAGCUUGGACAAGACAAGGACUAGGAACAAAGCCAGCUCUAGGAGUGACCUAGAGCUCUGGAGAAGAAGAGGAGCUUUAAGAAGAGGAGCCAAACCAUCAGAGAGUGCUGUUAGGUCUCUUUCUUGUGUCCAUCCGAUCUGUUCACAUAGACUUCUCCCAUCGCAUGAAGCUAUCACCUUUGAGAUAUGGCCUCCAAGAUUGCCACGGAAAAGGAAGAGAAUGUGAAGAAGUCACCUCAGAUACUUUACCACUUCAGCCAGGAAGAGACAGAAUUGUGCUAUAUACUGUUGGCCAGCAAGAGUUUGGCUUAUGGACCAUGUGGCCUCACCUACAUGGGAGACACUGGAAACAAAGUCCCUGGCUGUGAAGCCACUCCCCAGCAACAGCUCUGCACUACACAGAAGAGAAGCUUGGCUCUUUGGAAGUCAACUAGCUGUUGUUUUUAAACCCCGUUAUCCCUUCUCUGCAACCCUGAGCUCUACUCCCACAUAAUUAACUGGUUCUGCCAUUUGCUACUUAUGUUACUAUGAAUAAACUUAUACUUCUCUCAGCCUCAGUAUUCAUAUCCACAAAAUGGAUCUUAUCUCACAGGUUAGCUAUGAAGACUAAAUAAAUCAUGCAUUCAGAAACUUA
rnacentral:lncRNA from 1 species